rnacentral:sRNA from 1 species
CGACUCGAGCGAAGCGAGAGAACGUUGCGCCAGCAACGGCCCGCAGGGCGAGCCACGAAGUGGCGAGUAAUCCUCUGGCACCGACCA